AUCGUUGCCCCAAAAAAGACGGCGCCUCAUCGCAGGAGCCGGGCUGGGUGAAUGUUGGCUUCCCGGGAGCAUCGUCUCGCGGUUGGCUGAAAGACGAGCCUGUGAUGGAGUGCACUGCGACGGAUGGUGGGUGAGGGAAAGCUCGAGGCCAGUCGCGCGCGUCGCGCUUCCCCCUUUUGGGCUAAUUGACCC
rnacentral:misc_RNA from 1 species